rnacentral:rRNA from 1 species
GGAUGAACGCUAGCGGCAGGCUUAACACAUGCAAGUCGAGGGGUAACGCAGGUGCUUGCACUGGGCGACGACCGGCAAACGGGUGCGUAACGCGUAUACAACAUGCCUUAGACAGGAGGAUAGCCCUUGGAAACGAGGAAUAAUACUCCAUAUUAUCAUUGAGUGGCAUCGUUUGAUGAUAAAAGAUUAUAUUGGUUUAAGAUUGGUAUGCGUAUGAUUAGUUAGUUGGUGGGGUAACGGCUCACCAAGGCGACGAUCAUUAGGGGUCCUGAGAGGGAGAGCCCCCACACUGGUACUGAGACACGGACCAGACUCCUACGGGAGGCAGCAGUGAGGAAUAUUGGGCAAUGGAGGGAACUCUGACCCAGCCAUGUCGCGUGCAGGAAUAAUGCCCUAUGGGUAGUAAACUGCUUUAGUAUAGGAAGAAUAAGGGCUACGGGUAGUCUGAUGACGGUACUAUACGAAAAAGGAUCGGCUAACUCCGUGCCAGCAGCCGCGGUAAUACGGAGGAUUCGAGCGUUAUCCGGAUUCAUUGGGUUUAAAGGGUCUGUAGGCGGGUUUAUAAGUCAGUGGUGAAAUCCCGAGGCUCAACCUCGGAACUGCCAUUGAAACUGUAGGUCUUGAGUAUGAUAGAAGUUGGCGGAAUGUGUAGUGGAGUGGUGAAAUACAUAGAGAUUACACGGAACCUCAAUUGCGAAGGCAGCUGACUAUGUCAAUACUGACGCUGAGAGACAAAAGCGUGGGGAGCCAAUAGGAUUAGAGACCCUAGUAGUCCACGCCGUAAACGAUGAUAACUAGUUGUUGGGCUGUUAAAGGUUCAGUAACCAAGCGAAAGUGAUAAGUUAUCCACCUGGGGAGUACGUUCGCAUGGAUGAAACUCAAAGGAAUUGACGGGGGCCCGCACAAGCGGUGGAGCAUGUGGUUUAAUUCGAAGAUACGCGAGGAACCUUACCAAAACUUAAAUGUAGAACGACAGGAGCAGAGAUGCUUUUUUCUUCGGACGCUCUACAAGGUGUUGCAUGGUUGUCGUCAGCUCGUGCCGUGAGGUGUUAGGUUAAGUCCUUCAACGAGCGCAACCCCUAUACUUAGUUGCUAACAGGUAAAGCUGAGGACUUUAGGUAGACUGCCGGUGCAAGCCGUGAGGAAGGAGGGGAUGAUGUCAAAUCAUCACGGCCCUUAUGUUUUGGGCUACACACGUGCUACAAUGGUGAGAACAGAGGGAAGCCACCUGGUGACAGGGCGCAAAACCGAUAAACCUCAUCACAGUUCGGAUUGGAGUCUGCAACUCGACUCUAUGAAGCUGGAAUCGCUAGUAAUCGCAGAUCAGCCAUGCUGCGGUGAAUACGUUCCCGGGCCUUGUACACACCGCCCGUCAAGCCAUGGAAGCUGGGGGUGCCUGAAGUCGGUGACCGCAAGGAGCUGCCUAGGGCAAAUCUGGUAACUGGGGC